rfam:Streptomyces sp. WM6368 P399contig28.1, whole genome shotgun sequence.
CUUCAGGGAACCCAGGUGGAGCGGCCGGUCCGCCGGGCGGCCCCGGCCGUAGGUGGCCAGCAGCGCCUGUGCCUC